GUUUUUUUUUUCUCUCUCUCUCUCUUCCCCCCCUUCUCACCGUCUCUUCUCCCCUUUGGUUUUCUUUCUUUCUCUCCCCCUCUUUCUUUCAUUCUUUCCCCCUGUCCUAAAAAAAAAAAAAAAAAAAAAGGAUGAAAAAAAAACAAAAAAAACUAAAGAUGCCAACUUAAGAAAUGCGAGUAUUUAGUUUUGUGUCAGGAGAGCAGGUAAUAAACUGCUCAAGUUUUGGCUUUGGCUUAAUAAAUUUAGGGGUCCUAGAGGAACCCUUUUGAGUGAGGUGGUGUUACGCCCCUCUGCAGCCCCUAAUCUCCUCAGUGUGUUCAGCUGUUGCUAAUUGGCCACACCUAGUAAGGUAUAAAUAAACGCAUACCUGUGGCAGGCUAUUCAGGAAGCUCACUAGUCGUUGCCUUUGUGGCAACAGCCAUUUGAGCCAACCUGGGAUGUCAUUUUAAGCUAAAACCUCUUCUCACUUACACUCUGAUAUUCGUCUCCUUUUUUAUGUUGCAGCCUCGAGCCGGGUCAUAACACCUCCCCUUAAGUUUUCCAAAAAAAAACAGAUAGAUGAUCCUCAAGUACUUAGGGAAAAUAUUCUGUGGAGUCAUGAGACAGUUUGUGGAUAGUUUGAAUUCUGUUAUUUGUGGUAGUGAGAUCAUAAAUGGUCAGAGGGCCCAGUGGCGCCAGUGUCCGGCAGCCUCGCCUCUGUCAGUGCGCCCCAGGGUGGCUGUGGCUACAAUGUAGCUUGCCAUCACCAGUGUGUGAAUGUGUGUGUGAAUGGGUGGAUGACUGGAUAUGAAAAGCGCUUUGGUGUCCUUAGGGACUAGUAAAGCGCUAUAUAAAUACAGGCCAUUUACCAAAAUACAGGCCAUAAAGCUAACACAGUAUUUCAUAAAAUGAACAUCAAACAAUUGAUGGAACCAUGAUUCUGCUCCGUCUGAAAAUCCUGAAUGCUUUUCUGGGUUCUCCAUUAGGUCAUAGUAGUUCACAGCCCGGGAUUCCAAGCAUUCUGAUCAGGUACUACACUGUGACGUCGUCAGACUACAUGCCACCGAUUGGCUGAUAAGUAGCGUCAGUUAAUGAGUCAUUGAGCGCCAUUUGCGAAAAUUAAAACUGCAAUUUUUGAAUUUCGGUGAUUAUAUUUGAAUCAGGGAAAUUUUGCCCCAUACAGUCAGAAAUAUUGUAUUUCUGAUCACUUAUCAGUACAUAUCCUUGUUUUUACAUCUAUAAAAACAAAGCUGACACUUGUGAGACUUGAUCAAAGGUGUAAGCAUCUCAGCAGAUGCCUUUGUGUCAAAGUAACUGAGGAUAAAACAGAAAAACAUGAAGGAGAUUUUCCUGGCCUGGGAUUUUAUAGCAGAUAACCUUAAAAAUAUUCUGCAGUAGAUACAUUUGUUCAGUACUGAAGUGAAGAAAUUAG
ensembl:lncRNA